ACCUCCCUUCCAAACCCUAUGAUCGGGCACCUUCUCUCUCAACUCCAUCAACUAUCUCUCUCAUCCUCUCCGCUUUCCAUCUGAUCUCCUCUAAUCACCCGAACCUUAGGAGCGGAGCCAAUUCAGAUGGAAACCCCCUUCUUCUUCCGCCGAUGACACCAGGUACCACCGCCCGCCUUAGCUUCCUCCAAGAAAUUGCCUUCUUCCUCUGCCGCCGCCGCCACCAAGAUACCCCCUCCCCGAGGACGACUUCGACGAUGAUACCACCGACGAUUCACCGAUGCGCACCAUAAAGUCUUGGUGCUGUGUGUGCCGCUGUUUGACUUUGAGUUGAAGACAUUUUGUACCUACGCAAUAUAAAUUUUUAUGGAGACCAUUCUUUUGCCUCAGCGCACAGCCCUUGGUGUACAUUGAGAAUGAUCAGUUGUUGCAAGUGAGCAUCUGUAGAAACUUAUUAUGAAGUUUAUUCGAAAAGUCCCUCUAUUUCUAGGGAUUGAGGUACGAUUGAUAAUAUCGACCCUCUUUAUGAAGCAAAACCAGGUUGCAUGGGUUGUCAAAAUGAUAGGGGAAAAUGAGACCAAAUCGUAACCAAAACACUCAUCACUAUACGAAUUGUUGGCCGGGAUCGUUGGGGUUCAAGUAAGUUUGGCCUAUUAUUGCAAUAGAUGGGGCCUGAAGAAGUAACUAAGACAACAAAUGUCUCCAGAAGUCCAGAUUGCUUCAAUAUCAUGGUUGUAUCAUCUCCGUACCAGAGAGCUGAAAGUCAUCUUCAGUCCUCUCUGAAAUAGUAGAUGAGCUGGUUGUGCUCAUCAGAAAAUCAAGCAUGUGAUUAAUUGGGAUGACUAAAUUUUCUUAAUUUGUUACUCUUAUACUCUGUAUUUUCCUUACUUAUCAGUUUACAUGUUCUCAAACUAACCAAAAGUAGCAGUUCUGUCAAACCAAACGGAUUUUAAAAAAUAAUAUUCUUGGCUUAAUGAUUUUUUUUUGAUUUA